rnacentral:rRNA from 1 species
UACGGAAGGCAGCAGUGGGGAAUCUUGCGCAAUGGGCGAAAGCCUGACGCAGCCAUGCCGCGUGAAUGAUGAAGGUCUUAGGAUUGUAAAAUUCUUUCACCGGGGACGAUAAUGACGGUACCCGGAGAAGAAGCCCCGGCUAACUUCGUGCCAGCAGCCGCGGUAAUACGAAGGGGCUAGCGUUGCUCGGAAUUACUGGGCGUAAAGGGAGCGUAGGCGGACAUUUAAGUCAGGGGUGAAAUCCGGGGCUCAACCUCGGAAUUGCCUUUGAUACUGGGUGUCUUGAGUAUGAGAGAGGUGUGUGGAACUCCGAGUGUAGAGGUGAAAUUCGUAGAUAUUCGGAAGAACACCAGUGGCGAAGGCGACACACUGGCUCAUUACUGACGCUGAGGCUCGAAAGCGUGGGGAGCAAACAGGGAUUAGAUACC